GGGGAAUGCUUCAAUCCAUCCAGAAGAGAGACAUACAAUAACUAAAACAUAUUCAAACCCAGAACAUUUUGGCAUCCGUAUAAAGUCCAUUUGCAGAUGUUGGAAUGGUCCCUCAGGUCCCCUACCUCUGUGGGUGAGGCAGACCAUAAAGAAGGAUUAACUUGAUCGAACAGGGUUUCUUCUUCCAUUGUGAGGUUUGCAAGGACGGGCAUGUAUUCUGCUAAAGAGAUCGCUUACAGUGUUCCACCACACUCUGCAACUUGUCCAAGUUUUCCAUUUCCCAUCCGACACAGAUUCUCUUCAGCAAGUUGCCUAUGGGCGGCAGUAAUCCAUCUACAAAACAAGCUGCCAAAGCUCCAGAGGCAUUAUCAUCUGGUUCAUUAAUGCCUGAAUGUUGAUUAAAAACAAG